UCGAGAAUUUUUCUCAAUGGGGGAAACCCUGAAGGAGCGACGCCGCGUGGAGGAUGAAGGCUUUCGGGUUGUAAACUCCUGUCAUUUGGGAACAAAGCCUUACGUUAACUGCGUGGAGGUUUGAUAGUACCGAAAGAGGAAGAGACGGCUAACUCUGUGCCAGCAGCCGCGGUAAUACAGAGGUCUCAAGCGUUGUUCGGAUUCAUUGGGCGUAAAGGGCGCGUAGGCGGCGGGGUAAGUCGGGUGUGAAAUCUCAGGGCUCAACCCUGAAACUGCACUCGAUACUGCUCUGCUUGAGGACUGGAGAGGAGACUGGAAUUCACGGUGUAGCAGUGAAAUGCGUAGAUAUCGUGAGGAAGACCAGUGGCGAAGGCGGGUCUCUGGACAGUUCCUGACGCUGAGGCGCGAAGGCCAGGGGAGCAAACGGGAUUAGAUACCCCCGUAGUCC
rnacentral:rRNA from 1 species